rnacentral:rRNA from 1 species
CAGGCCUAACACAUGCAAGUCGAGCGGUAGAGAGAAGCUUGCUUCUCUUGAGAGCGGCGGACGGGUGAGUAAUGCCUAGGAAUCUGCCUAGUGGUGGGGGAUAACGUUCGGAAACGGACGCUAAUACCGCAUACGUCCUACGGGAGAAAGCGGGGGACCUUCGGGCCUCGCGCCAUUAGAUGAGCCUAGGUCGGAUUAGCUAGUUGGUGAGGUAAUGGCUCACCAAGGCGACGAUCCGUAACUGGUCUGAGAGGAUGAUCAGUCACACUGGAACUGAGACACGGUCCAGACUCCUACGGGAGGCAGCAGUGGGGAAUAUUGGACAAUGGGCGAAAGCCUGAUCCAGCCAUGCCGCGUGUGUGAAGAAGGUCUUCGGAUUGUAAAGCACUUUAAGUUGGGAGGAGGGUAGUAACUUAAUACGUUGCUACUUUGACGUUACCGACAGAAUAAGCACCGGCUAACUUCGUGCCAGCAGCCGCGGUAAUACGAAGGGUGCAAGCGUUAAUCGGAAUUACUGGGCGUAAAGCGCGCGUAGGUGGUUCAGUAAGUUGGAAGUGAAAUCCCCGGGCUCAACCUGGGAACUGCAUUCAAAACUGCUGAGCUAGAGUACGGUAGAGGGUGGUGGAAUUUCCUGUGUAGCGGUGAAAUGCGUAGAUAUAGGAAGGAACACCAGUGGCGAAGGCGACCACCUGGACUGAUACUGACACUGAGGUGCGAAAGCGUGGGGAGCAAACAGGAUUAGAUACCCUGGUAGUCCACGCCGUAUACGAUGUCAACUAGCCGUUGGGAGUCUUGAACUCUUUAGUGGCGCAGCUAACGCAUUAAGUUGACCGCCUGGGGAGUACGGCCGCAAGGGUUAAAACUCAAAGGA